UCCCCCUCACUGUUACAGCACGACAAGC
rnacentral:sRNA from 1 species